UACGGGGGAUGCAAGCGUUAUCCGGAUUUAUUGGGUUUAAAGGGUGCGUAGGCUGUGAGGUAAGUCAGCGGUGAAAUGCCCCCGCUCAACGGGGUGAAGUGCCAUUGAUACUGCCUUGCUGGAAUGCGGAUGCCGUGGGAGGAAUGUGUGGUGUAGCGGUGAAAUGCAUAGAUAUCACACAGAACACCGAUUGCGAAGGCAUCUCACGAAUCCGCGAUUGACGCUGAUGCACGAAAGCGUGGGUAUCAAACAGG
rnacentral:ncRNA from 2 species